rnacentral:lncRNA from 1 species
GACGGACGGACACCGCCGCCCCCAUGGCCACGGGGGGACCCCGAGGUGACCCCAAAUGGGGCAGCGCUGAGGGGGGCACGCGGGGGGGUCAACACACAGCACCACCGAAACCCCAAAACCCCACAGCACCAAACCCCCAAAAACCCCACAGCACCGAAACCCCAAAAACCCCACAGCACCAAAACCCCAAACAGCACCAAAACCCUAAAACCCCCCAACCCCACAGCACCAAAACCCCACACAGCACCAAAACCCUAAAACCCCACAGCACCAAAACCCCACAAGCACCAAAACCCCAAAACCCCACAGCACCAAAACCCUAAAACCCCACAGCACCGAAACCCCACACAGCACCAAGACCCCAUACACACAGCAAAGCCCCCCCAGCACCACCAAAACCCCAAAAGCACCAAAACCCCAAAAGCACCAAAACCCCCCAGCACCAAAACCCCUCGGGGGACACUAUGGGGACACUGAGGGACAGGGGAAACUGAGGCAGGGUGACACAGCGUGGGGCCAGAGGGACGACAUGGGGACACUGGGGGACAGGGGCACAAUUUGGGGACGAUCUGGGGACACCAUAUGGGGAAACUGAGGCACGGGGACAAAGCAUGGGGACGAUCUGGGGACACAGAGGGACAACAUGGGGACGUGGUGGGGACAAUGUGGGGCCACAGCGUGGGGACACAGCGCGGGGACACGGGGGGACGGGGACACAAUUUGGGGACACUAAGGGACAGGGACACAAUUUGGGGACAAUGUGGGGACACUGAGGGACUGGGACACAAUGUGGGGACAAUAUGGGGACACUGGGGGAUGGAGACAUGGUGUGGGGACAAUAUGGGGACACAGAGGGACAGGGACACAAUUUGGGGACGCAGAGGGAUGGGGACACAACUUGGGGACGAUAUGGGGACACUGAGGGACAGGGAUGGGGACACAUUGGGGUGGGGACACAGAGGGACGAUAUGGGGACACUGGGGGAUGGGGACACAAUUUGGGGACAAUAUGGGGACACUGGGGACGAUAUGGGGACACAGAGGGAUGGGGACACAUUUGGGGACGAUAUGGGGACACUGAGGGACAGGGACACAGUGUGGGGACACAGAGGGCCGAUAUGGGGACACAUUUGGGGACAAAAUGGGGACACAGUGGGAUGGGGGCAGAAUUUGGGGACAAUGUGGGGACACUGGGGGACGACAUGGGGACA